CAUUUCAUGUUUGCACCCUGGGUGCCUCAUCCACUUCACUCCUCACCGUGAAACACAAGGAACACAGGAGGAGUGGCAGAUGGAGGGCUGGGAAAAAUGAACAGGGCUACCUUCUGCCUGGACUCACCCAAAAGCCGGUCUCCUGCAGCCUGAAGCUCUUGUACCUCUAGGCUGAAGAUGAUGAGGAUCACAGGAGGAGGAAGGCUGCCAACUUCAUGUUGCUGUUGGAAGGCUUUGGAAAAACACAGCAGGGCUGAGAGCAGCUGAAAUUUAUACCUUCCACCCGCUGAGCUGGAAUGCAAGGCCAGGGGUGGGACUAGGGACUGCAGACACCUAAGCCCUGCCCAGAAACUGACAUUUCUGGAGAAUAGCCACCCACCCUGUGUACCCUGGGUCCUUCUACAUUACCUAAGCAAGGCUCUGAGCCAAGGGAACGCCCUCCUCUGACAGAAAAAUAAGACUCCUACACCAGGCCAGUUGCAGUGGCUCACAUCUGUAAUCCCAGCACUUUGGGAGGCCAAGGCAGGAGGAUCAUUUGAGCCCAGGAGUUCAAGACCAGCCUGGGUAACAAGAGCAAGACCCUGUCUCUACAAAAUUAAAAAAAAAAAAAGUUAAAUAAUGAAAAAGACUCCUAAAUCAAAAAA
rnacentral:lncRNA from 1 species